UACAUAGGGUGCAAGCGUUGUCCGGAAUUAUUGGGCGUAAAGGAGCUACGUAGGUGGUUCGAUUACGUCGGGAUGUGAAAAUCCAGGGGCUCAACCCCUGACCUGCAUCCGAUACGGUCGAACUAGAGUUGGUAGGGGAGACUGGGAAUUCCUGGUGUAGCUGGUGGAAUGCGACAGAUAUCAGGAGGAACACCAAUGGCGAAGGCAGGUCUCUGGGCCAAUACUGACACUGAGGAGCGAAAGUCUGGGGAGCGAACAGG
rnacentral:rRNA from 1 species